GAUGAACGCUGGCGGCGUGCUUAACACAUGCAAGUCGAACGGAAAGGCCCCAGCUUGCUGGGGUACUCGAGUGGCGAACGGGUGAGUAACACGUGGGUGAUCUGCCCUGCACUUUGGGAUAAGCUUGGGAAACUGGGUCUAAUACCGAAUAUGACCACUUCUUGGAUGUUGUGGUGGAAAGCUUUUGCGGUGUGGGAUGAGCCUGCGGCCUAUCAGCUUGUUGGUGGGGUAAUGGCCUACCAAGGCGGCGACGGGUAUCCGGCCUGAGAGGGUGUACGGACACAUUGGGACUGGGAUACGGCCCAGACUCCUACGGGAGGCAGCAGUGGGGAACAUUGCACAAUGGGCGGAAGCCUGACCCAGCAACGCCGCGUGGAGGAAUGAAGGCCUUCGGGUUGUAAACUCCUUUUGCAGGGGAAGAGGAAGGACGGUACCCUGCGAAUAAGUCACGGCUAACUACGUGCCAGCCGCCGCGGUAA
rnacentral:rRNA from 1 species